UAGGGAAUCUUCCACAAUGGACGAAAGUCUGAUGGAGCAACGCCGCGUGAGUGAAGAAGGGUUCGGCUCGUAAACUCUGUUGUUAAAGAAGAACAUAUCUGAGAGUAACUGUUCAGGUAUUGACGGUAUUUAACCAGAAACGCCACGGCUAACUACGUGCCAC
rnacentral:rRNA from 1 species